UAAUAUAAAUAUUAUUGUUAUUAUUAAUUAAAAGUAUUUUUUAUGUUAUUAUUUUAGUAUUGUUAUGAAUUUAUUUAUAUUAUUAUAGUUUAUUAUUACAGUGAUGGUUGAAUGAAAGAGUUGAAAAUUUUAUUUUUAAGGAGAAAAGUUUUUGUACCUUUUGUAUCAGGGUUUAUUAAAAAUUAUUAAUUUAUUUUUUUCGUUCUCGAAUUGGAAAGAGUUAUUUGUUUAUGAUUUAUAUUGUUAUAUAAAUAUAUUGAAUUGAUAAGUGGUAAUGAAAUGUUAUUCGUUUUCUUGGAUAUCUAGUUUCUCAAGAUGGAAAUUUAAUUUUGGUUUUUUAUUAUAAUAUUUAUUAGUAUUUAAAUUUAUUUAUGUAUUAUAGGAAAUACUUAUGAUUCUGGGGAUAAGCUCUAAAAUAAAAAUCGUCGACCUGUAUUUUGGAAUAUGAGCUUUUAAUUAGCUAUUAUUUGUGAGUUUGUUAUAGGUCAAUUUAUUUAAUUAUUUAUAUGAUUAUAUUGAGUGUAUAUUGGGAUGUUAAAAUUAAUUUUUAUUUUAUGUAAUAAUGAUGUAAUUAGUAAAUGAUUUGAUUGUUUGAAUUAUGUUGAUGCUUAUUUAUUUUAAGGAAUUAGGCAAAAUAAUUGUUCGCCUGUUUAUCAAAAACAUGUCUUCUUGAAGUGAUAUGAAGUCGUGCCUGCCCAAUGAGUAUUUGAAUGGCCGCGGUAUACUGACCGUGCAAAGGUAGCAUAAUCAUUAGUCUCUUAAUUGGAGGCUGGAAUGAAUGGUUUGACGAAACAAUUACUGUCUCUUGAUAAUGGUUUGAAUUUUACUUUUGAGUUAAAAGGCUCAAAUGUUGAUAGGGGACGAGAAGACCCUAUAGAUCUUAAUAAUUUAUAUUAAUUUUUUUGUUUGGAGGGUAUUUAUUGAAUUUUAGUAUAUUGUAUUUGGUUGGGGUGACAAGGGAAUAUAACAACUUCUUAUUAUUUAACUAUGAUGAUUGGUUAAUUGAUCCUAUAUUAUGGAAUAAAGAUAAAGAUACCUUAGGGAUAACAGCGUAAUGUUAUUGGAGAGUUCUUAUUGAUAAUAAAGAUUGCGACCUCGAUGUUGGAUUAAGAAAAUUAUUAGGUGCAGAAGCUUAAUUUAUUGGUCUGUUCGACCAUUAAAUUCUUACAUGAUCUGAGUUCAAACCGGUGUGAGCCAGGUUGGUUUCUAUCUCUAUUUAUUUUUAUAUAUUUUAGUACGAAAGGAUUGAAUAUAUUAAAUGUUUUAUUGUUUAGAAUGAUAUUAAU
rnacentral:rRNA from 1 species